rnacentral:rRNA from 1 species
GUAGUGGGGAGUAACGUAGCGAAGUUACGUCUAAUACCGCAUACGAUCCACGGAGUGAAAGCAGGGGACCUUCGGGCCUUGUGCUAUACGAGCGGCCGAUGUCUGAUUAGCUAGUUGGUGGGGUAAAGGCCCACCAAGGCAACGAUCAGUAGCGGGUCUGAGAGGAUGAUCCGCCACACUGGGACUGAGACACGGCCCAGACUCCUACGGGAGGCAGCAGUGGGGAAUUUUGGACAAUGGGCGCAAGCCUGAUCCAGCCAUGCCGCGUGUCUGAAGAAGGCCUUCGGGUUGUAAAGGACUUUUGUCAGGGAGCAAAACCCAGCAGCUAAUAUCUGUUGGGGAUGAGAGUACCUGAAGAAUAAGCACCGGCUAACUACGUG